rnacentral:rRNA from 1 species
AGUGAACGCUGGCGGCGUGCCUAAUACAUGCAAGUCGAACGGAGUGGCGCACGGGUGCGUACUAUAUAGCUACUCUGCCCCUUGCUGGAGGUCAACAGUUAGAAAUGACUGCUAAUACUCCAUAGCAAGGGAUGAGACUAUAUCGUAUCAGCUAGUCGGUGGGGUAACGGCCUACCGAGGCUAUGACGCGUAACUGGUCUGAUCGGAUGAUCAGUCAAAUUGGAACGGAGACACGGUCCAAACUCCUACGGGAGGCAGCAGUAGGGAAUAUGACGCAAGGGGGGAGACCCUGACGCAGCAACGGCGCGUGGAGGAUGACACUUUGCGGAGCGUAAACUCCUUGUGUUAUGGAAGCGGUACCUAACGAAUAAGCACCGGCUAACUCCGUGCCAGCAGCCGCGGUAAUAC